rnacentral:rRNA from 1 species
GACGAACGCUGGCGGCGUGCUUAACACAUGCAAGUCGAACGAUGAAGCCGGAGCUUGCUCUGGUGAAUUAGUGGCGAACGGGUGAGUAACACGUGAGUAACCUGCCCUUGACUCUGGGAUAACUGCGGGAAACUGUAGCUAAUACCGGAUACGACCCUCGGAGGCAUCUCCUGGGGGUGGAAAGAAUUUCGGUCAAGGAUGGACUCGCGGCCUAUCAGCUAGUUGGUGAGGUAAAGGCUCACCAAGGCGACGACGGGUAGCCGGCCUGAGAGGGGGACCGGCCACACUGGGACUGCGACACGGCCCAGACUCCUACGGGAGGCAGCAGUGGGGAAUAUUGCACAAUGAGCGCAAGCCUGAUGCAGCAACGCCGCGUGAGGGAUGACGGCCUUCGGGUUGUAAACCUCUUUUAGUAGGGAAGAAGCGAAAGUGACGGUACCUGCAGAAAAAGCACCGGCUAACUACGUGCCAGCAGCCGCCGCGG